GACGAACGCUGGCGGCGUGCUUAACACAUGCAAGUCGAACGGAAAGGCCCUGCUUUUGUGGGGUGCUCGAGUGGCGAACGGGUGAGUAACACGUGAGUAACCUGCCCUUUACUUUGGGAUAACUUCAGGAAACUGGGGCUAAUACCGGAUAGGAGCUCCUGCUGCAUGGUGGGGGUUGGAAAGUUUCGGCGGUUGGGGAUGGACUCGCGGCUUAUCAGCUUGUUGGUGGGGUAGUGGCUUACCAAGGCUUUGACGGGUAGCCGGCCUGAGAGGGUGACCGGCCACAUUGGGACUGAGAUACGGCCCAGACUGCUACGGGAGGCAGCAGUGGGGAAUAUUGCACAAUGGGCGGAAGCCUGAUGCAGCAACGCCGCGUGCGGGAUGACGGCCUUCGGGUUGUAAACCGCUUUCGCCUGUGACGAAGCGUGAGUGACGGUAAUGGGUAAAGAAGCACCGGCUAACUACGUG
rnacentral:rRNA from 1 species